rnacentral:rRNA from 1 species
AUGAACGCGUAGCGGCAGGCUAACACAUGGCAAGUCGAGGGGCGAGCAUACCCAGCAAGUGGGUGAGUGGCGGACCGGCGGAAGGGUGCGUAACGCGUGAGCAACAGUACCCUAUACAGGGGGAUAAGCCAGGGAAACUUGGUCUAAUAUCCCAUAGGAAAUAGAUAAGGCAUUCUUAUUUAUUUUAAAGCUUCGGUGGUAUAGGAUUGGCUCGCGUGACAUUAGCUAAAUGGAGGGGUAACGGCCCACCAUGGCAAUGAUGUCUAGGGGUUCUGAGAGGAAGAUCCCCCACACUGGGACUGAGACACGGCCCAGACUCCUACGGGAGGCAGCAGUGAGGAAUAUUGGACAAUGGAUGGAAAUCUGAUCCAGCCAUGCCGCGUGCAGGAAGACGGCCCUAUGGGUUGUAAACUGCUUUUAUACGGGAGCAAUAAGGUCUAUGCAUAGAUUGAUGAGAGUACCGUAUGAAUAAGCAUCGGCUAACUCCGUG